GCACCCCUGAGGAGUCCCAUACUAGGACGAAACGGCCGUCCAGUGC
rnacentral:hammerhead_ribozyme from 1 species